rnacentral:rRNA from 1 species
GAUUGAACGCUGGCGGCAUGCCUUACACAUGCAAGUCGAACGGCAGCACGGGUGCUUGCACCUGGUGGCGAGUGGCGAACGGGUGAGUAAUACAUCGGAACAUGUCCUGUAGUGGGGGAUAGCCCGGCGAAAGCCGGAUUAAUACCGCAUACGAUCUACGGAUGAAAGCGGGGGACCUUCGGGCCUCGCGCUAUAGGGUUGGCCGAUGGCUGAUUAGCUAGUUGGUGGGGUAAAGGCCUACCAAGGCGAUGAUCAGUAGCUGGUCUGAGAGGACGACCAGCCACACUGGGACUGAGACACGGCCCAGACUCCUGCGGGAGGCAGCAGUGGGGAAUUUUGGACAAUGGGCGAAAGCCUGAUCCAGCAAUGCCGCGUGUGAAGAAGGCCUUCGGGUUGUAAAGCACUUUUGUCCGGAAAGAAAUCCUUGGCUCUAAUACAGUCGGGGGAUGACGGUACCGGAAGAAUAAGCACCGGCUAACUACGUGCCAGCAGCCGCGGUAAUACGUAGGGUGCGAGCGUUAAUCGGAAUUACUGGGCGUAAAGCGUGCGCAGGCGGUUUGCUAAGACCGAUGUGAAAUCCCCGGGCUCAACCUGGGAACUGCAUUGGUGACUGGCAGGCUAGAGUAUGGCAGAGGGGGGGUAGAAUUCCACGUGCAGCAGUGAAAUGCGUAGAGAUGUGGAGGAAUACCGAUGGCGAAGGCAGCCCCCUGGGCCAAUACUGACGCUCAUGCACGAAAGCGUGGGGAGCAAACAGGAUUAGAUACCCUGGUAGUCCACGCCCUAAACGAUGUCAACUAGUUGUUGGGGAUUCAUUUCCUUAGUAACGUAGCUAACGCGUGAAGUUGACCGCCUGGGGAGUACGGUCGCAAGAUUAAAACUCAAAGGAAUUGACGGGGACCCGCACAAGCGGUGGAUGAUGUGGAUUAAUUCGAUGCAACGCGAAAAACCUUACCUACCCUUGACAUGGUCGGAAUCCCGCUGAGAGGUGGGAGUGCUCGAAAGAGAACCGGCGCACAGGUGCUGCAUGGCUGUCGUCAGCUCGUGUCGUGAGAUGUUGGCUUAAGUCCCGCAACGAGCGCAACCCUUGUCCUUAGUUGCUACGCAAGAGCACUCUAAGGAGACUGCCGGUGACAAACCGGAGGAAGGUGGGGAUGACGUCAAGUCCUCAUGGCCCUUAUGGGUAGGGCUUCACACGUCAUACAAUGGCCGGAACAGAGGGUUGCCAACCCGCGAGGGGGAGCUAAUCCCAGAAAACCGAUCGUAGUCCGGAUUGCACUCUGCAACUCGAGUGCAUGAAGCUGGAAUCGCUAGUAAUCGCGGAUCAGCAUGCCGCGGUGAAUACGUUCCCGGGUCUUGUACACACCGCCCGU